UAACACGGGGGGGGCAAGCGUUGCUCGGAAUUACUGGGCGUAAAGGGUCCGUAGGCGGUUUUGUAAGUUAGAUGUGAAAGCUCAGGGCUUAACCUUGAAACUGCAUCUAAAACUGCGAGACUUGAGUUCGGAAGGGGUUGGUGGUAUUCCCGGUGUAGCGGUGAAAUGCGUAGAUAUCGGGAGGAACACCUAUAGCGAAGGCAGCCAACUGGGCCGACACUGACGCUGAGGGACGAAAGCGUGGGUAGCAAACGGGAUUAGAUACCCCGGUAGUCCACGCCCUAAACGAUGGAUGCUAGGUGUGGGGGCUUUUGCCUCCGUGCCGUAGUUAACACAUUAAGCAUCCCGCCUGGGGAGUACGGUCGCAAGGCUG
rnacentral:rRNA from 1 species